UACGAAGGGGGCUAGCGUUGCUCGGAAUUACUGGGCGUAAAGGGAGCGUAGGCGGGUCGUCAAGUUGGGGGUGAAAGCCCGGGGCUCAACCUCGGGCUUGCAGUGGAUACGGGCAGACUAGAGUGCGGUAGGGGAGACUGGAAUUCCUGGUGUAGCGGUGGAAUGCGCAGAUAUCAGGAGGAACACCGGUGGCGAAGGCGGGUCUCUGGGCAGUAACUGACGCUGAGGAGCGAAAGCGUGGGGAGCGAACAGG
rnacentral:rRNA from 1 species